rnacentral:rRNA from 1 species
CAAGUCGAACGAGAAAGUGGAGCAAUCCAUGAGUACAGUGGCGUACGGGUGAGUAACACGUGGGUAAUCUACCUCUUAGUGGGGAAUAACCGAGGGAAACCUUGGCUAAUACCGCAUAAGCCUGAGAAGGGAAAGCAGCAAUGCGCUGAGAGAGGAGCCCGCGGCUGAUUAGCUAGUUGGUGGGGUAAGAGCCUACCAAGGCAGAGAUCGGUAGCCGGCCUGAGAGGGCACACGGCCACACUGGCACUGAAACACGGGCCAGACUCCUACGGGAGGCAGCAGUGGGGAAUCUUGCACAAUGGGGGAAACCCUGAUGCAGCGACGCCGCGUGAGCGAUGAAGCCCUUCGGGGUGUAAAGCUCUUUCGUCAGGGACGAUAAUGACGGUACCUGGAGAAGCAGCUGCGGCUAACUACGUGCCAGCAGCCGCGGUAAUACGUAGGCAGCAAGCGUUGUUCGGAGUUACUGGGCGUAAAGGGUGUGUAGGCGGUUCUUUAAGUUUGGUGUGAAAUCUCCCGGCUCAACUGGGAGGGUGCGCCGAAUACUGAGGGACUAGAGUACGGGAGAGGAAAGUGGAAUUCCUGGUGUAGCGGUGAAAUGCGUAGAUAUCAGGAGGAACACCGGUGGUGUAGACGGCUUUCUGGACCGACACUGACGCUGAGACACGAAAGCGUGGGUAGCAAACAGGAUUAGAUACCCUGGUAGUCCACGCCCUAAACGAUGCAUAUUUGGUGUGGGCAGUUCAUUCUGUCCGUGCCGGAGCUAACGCGUUAAAUAUGCCGCCUGGGGAGU